AUACGUAGGGUGCAAGCGUUAAUCGGAAUUACUGGGCGUAAAGCGUGCGCAGGCGGUUUUGUAAGACAGAGGUGAAAUCCCCGGGCUCAACCUGGGAACUGCCUUUGUGACUGCAAGGCUAGAGUACGGCAGAGGGGGAUGGAAUUUCGCGUGUAGCAGUGAAAUGCGUAGAUAUGCGGAGGAACACCGAUGGCGAAGGCAAUCCCCUGGGCCUGUACUGACGCUCAGGCACGAAAGCGUGGGGAGCAAACAGGAUUAGAUACCCCGGUAGUCCACGCCCUAAACGAUUUCAACUGGUUGUUGGGUCUUCAUUGACUCAGUAACGAAGCUAACGCGUGAAGUUGACCGCCUGGGGAGUACGGCCGCAAGGUUGAAACUCAAAUGAAUUGACGGGG
rnacentral:rRNA from 1 species